rnacentral:rRNA from 1 species
UGCAGUCGAACGGUAACAUUUCUAGCUUGCUAGAAGAUGACGAGUGGCGGACGGGUGAGUAAUACUUAGGAAUAUGCCUUUGUGUGGGGGAUAACCAUUGGAAACGAUGGCUAAUACCGCAUAACGUCUUCGGACCAAAGGGGGCUUCGGCUCCCGCGCAAAGAGUAGCCUAAGCGAGAUUAGCUUGUUGGUGAGGUAAAGGCUCACCAAGGCGACGAUCUCUAGCUGUUCUGAGAGGAAGAUCAGCCACACUGGAACUGAGACACGGUCCAGACUCCUACGGGAGGCAGCAGUGGGGAAUAUUGCACAAUGGGGGAAACCCUGAUGCAGCCAUGCCGCGUGUGUGAAGAAGGCCUUCGGGUUGUAAAGCACUUUCAGUUGUGAGGAAAGGUUGAUGGUUAAUACCCAUUAGCUGUGACGUUAGCAACAGAAGAAGGACCGGCUAACUCCGUGCCAGCAGCCGCGGUAAUACGGAGGGUCCGAGCGUUAAUCGGAAUUACUGGGCGUAAAGCGCACGCAGGCGGUUUGUUAAGCUAGAUGUGAAAGCCCUGGGCUCAACCUGGGAAUUGCAUUUAGAACUGGCAGGCUAGAGUUUUGGAAAGGGGAGUGGAAUUCCAGGUGUAGCG